GGGGGCAGCCGGAUGGUCGCGGCCCGACGAGGGCUGAGGAAAGUCCGAGCUCCACAGGGCAGCGUACCCCGAUAACGUCGGGGCCUCUGACGGACCACCCGUCAGGGCGGAUCAGAGCCACAGAGACGAGCAAGCCCGCAAGGGCCCACGUGAAACGCGGCAAUCUCUACGCGGAGCAAGGCCAAACGGCCUGCCUAUCGGGCGGCCCGUCCGAGACCCGGUGCGGUGCGCCGGGACGGCAGGAGGGUAGGCCGCAGGACCCUGGCGGCAACACCAGGGCGAGAUGGAUGACCAUCCCCCCGCCGCGAGGCGGGGGACAGGACUCGGCUUACAGGCGGUCCCCCCGG
rnacentral:RNase_P_RNA from 1 species